rnacentral:rRNA from 1 species
GCUCACCGAAGUUAAGCAGCGUAGAGCCAGGUCAGUACUUAGAUGGGGGAUCGCUUGGGAACACCUGGUACUGUAAG